rnacentral:rRNA from 1 species
AGAGUUUGAUCCUGGCUCAGGGUGAACGCUGGCGGCGUGCCUAACACAUGCAAGUCGAGCGGGUACCCGCAAGGGUACCAGCGGCGCACGGGUGAGUAACACGUGGGUAAUCUACCCCUCGGAGGGGGAUAACCGGGGGAAACUCCGGCUAAUACCCCAUACGAUCCAACAACACAAGUUGUUGGAUGAAAGGAGCGUUUGCUCCGCCGAGGGAUGAGCCCGCGGCCCAUCAGGUAGUUGGUGGGGUAAUGGCCCACCAAGCCUACGACGGGUAGCCGGCCUGAGAGGGUGGUCGGCCACAAGGGCACUGAGACACGGGCCCUACUCCUACGGGAGGCAGCAGUGGGGAAUCUUGGACAAUGGGCGAAAGCCUGAUCCAGCGACGCCGCGUGGGGGAUGAAGCCCUUCGGGGUGUAAACCCCUGUUGCGAGGGAGGAAUAAGGCCUGGAGGAAAUGCCAGGCCGAUGACUGUACCUCGCGAGGAAGCCCCGGCUAACUACGUGCCAGCAGCCGCGGUAAUACGUAGGGGGCGAGCGUUACCCGGAUUCACUGGGCGUAAAGCGGGUGUAGGCGGCUCGGUAAGUCGGGUGUGAAAUCCCACAGCUCAACUGUGGAAUUGCGCCCAAAACUGCUGAGCUUGGGGCCGGUAGAGGGAGACGGAACUGCCGGUGUAGGGGUGAAAUCCGUAGAUAUCGGCAGGAACGCCGGUGGGGAAGCCGGUCUCCUGGGCCGCGCCCGACGCUGAGACCCGAAAGCUAGGGGAGCAAACCGGAUUAGAUACCCGGGUAGUCCUAGCCGUAAACGAUGCCCACUAGGUGUGGGGGAUUAAUUCCUCCGUGCUGUAGCUAACGCGUUAAGUGGGCCGCCUGGGGAGUACGCCCGCAAGGGUGAAACUCAAAUGAAUUGACGG